GGCCGUGUAGUUCAGUUGGUUAGAACGCUAGCCUGUCACGCUAGAGGUCGACGGUUCGAGCCCGUUCACGGUCGCCA
rnacentral:tRNA from 7 species